UACGUAGGGUGCGAGCGUUAAUCGGAAUUACUGGGCGUAAAGCGUGCGCAGGCGGUUUUGUAAGCCAGAUGUGAAAUCCCCGGGCUUAACCUGGGAAUGGCAUUUGGGACUGCAAGGCUUGAGUGCGGCAGAGGAGACUGGAAUUCCUGGUGUAGCAGUGAAAUGCGUAGAUAUCAGGAGGAAUACCGAUGGCGAAGGCAGGUCUCUGGGCUGACACUGACGCUCAUGCACGAAAGCGUGGGGAGCAAACCGG
rnacentral:rRNA from 1 species